rnacentral:tRNA from 1 species
UGGGGCUGUAGCUCAGCUGGGAGAGCGCGUCGUUCGCAAUGACGAGGUCAGGGGUUCGAUCCCCCUCAGCUCCACC